rnacentral:rRNA from 1 species
CAGCACCUCAAGUGGUCAGGAUGAUUAUUGGGCCUAAAGCAUCCGUAGCCGGCGCUGUAAGUUUUCGGUUAAAUCUGUACGCUCAACGUACAGGUUGCCGGGAAUACUGCAGCGCUAGGGAGUGGGAGAGGUAGACGGUACUCGGUAGGAAGGGGUAAAAUCCUUUGAUCUAUUGAUGACCACCUGUGGCGAAGGCGGUCUACCAGAACACGUCCGACGGUGAGGGAUGAAAGCUGGGGGAGCAAACCGGAUUAGAUACCCGAGUAGUCC